rnacentral:rRNA from 1 species
AUGUACCUUCACAGCUGUAGCGGUGCCAACGAGGGUGGAAGGACUACAGGUGGACAUAGGAGUAAUGCAUGCCAGCUGACCUCCUCGGAUGCAAUUGCAGCACCUCCUACAUCUGCCAGAGAUGUUGCCCAUACAGAGCAGCCAGAACCAGCUCGAGCACAUGUGUUGGAUGUCCAAACAAACUGCCAUCCUGGUCCUUCUUUCCGUCGGGAUGAUGGAGAUGGCGGUGACGGCCAGGGGAGAGCAAAAGGUUUCGAAACAGGAAGUCAUGUUCGGCUGACGCAGUUCCAACAAGUUGUCCUGGAAUAUCUGUGGAAGUGCGGCAUCAAACACACGGUUAGUAACAGGGGGAAGACACUGAAUCCAUCGCAUAUCGAUGGACACAAAACUGGGCAUAUCACUGACAGGAAAGCUUGGGGUGAUAAAUAUCCCCCCUCAAUUGGGUUGAACCACUCAGAGCCCAGUGAUGAAUGCAUUUUCAAAUUCAACUCUAAUUUGCUUGCAUGCGAGGGACCGAUACUGAAUAGGAAAUGGGUUAAGCAUUACGAUCCAAUACUGGCAGUUGCAUCUGGGCAAGAUAUGAAAGAUGAAUUGACGCCAGGUGGUGAGGUAACAAUGAACAUGUGGAGGUGUGUUCAACGCAUGCUACGCGAGAAAGAUAAUGGCAUAUACCGCGGGUGGCUGGAUAGAUUCAGAGGGCUGUUCGACCCCAAAUUUGUUGAUGAGGUCUGCAGGGAUGAUGGAGAAACUGACUGGGAUUACAUCGAGGAUAUGAUGAAUUCAGAAAAGGCUGGGUACAGGAUUGACUGGCUGAAAAAGUUCUGGUUCCCAGUCGAUUUUAUGCACUGCUGGUCGAUGUACCUGCUGGAUAAGGAUGAAAAAAUGGUGAUGGUCCUGGACCCAACGGAGACAGAUGAAAUGGAUGAGAUGAAAAUCAAACAUGAAGGCCGUGCAAAAAAGUUCCAGCGCAGGUUCUGUUCUCUGUUCAACAAUUUCUUCGGCAACGGCUUGAUUGAAACUGAAGGAUGGACAUUCAAGUAUCCACUAGUGGCACAGCAUGCGCCGUGCAGCAGGGAGGAAAGUGGGAUCUACAUCGCACACUACUACACUGAAUUCACCGGCCUGUACCUGCGUUCAUCACUGAACCAGGGGCAGAUAGACCGUCUACGGGCGAAGCUAGCGUACGAGAUUGUGACAAUGAAAGGGAACAAAGGGGACAUUCCAGAGUUCGUGUACGACGUGAUCAUAGAUUGA